UAGCGGCAGGCCUAAUACAUGCAAGCCGAACGGCAAGCUUGAUAGCAAUAUUGAGCCUAGAGUGGCGUAAGGGUGCGUAACACGUAUGCAAUCUACCCUCAACAGGAGGAUAGCUCCCCGAAAGGGGAAUUAAGACUCCAUAAGAUAUCAGAGUGGCAUCACUUAGAUAUUAAAGUACAAGCGGUUGAGGAUGAGCAUGCGUCUGAUUAGUUAGUUGGCGGGGUAACGGCCCACCAAGACGAUGAUCAGUAGGGGAACUGAGAGGUUGAUCCCCCACACUGGCACUGAGAUACGGGCCAGACUCCUACGGGAGGCAGCAGUAGGGAAUAUUGGACAAUGGGUGCAAGCCUGAUCCAGCCAUGCCGCGUGCAGGAAGAAGGCCUUCUGGGUUGUAAACUGCUUUUGCCGGGGGAUAAAGUAGUCUUGCGAGACGAAUUGAAGGUACCCGGUGAAUAAGCCACGGCUAACUACGUGCCAGCAGCCGCGGUAAUACGGAGGGUGCGAGCGUUAAUCGGAAUUACUGGGCGUAAAGCGCACGUAGGUGGUUGGGUAAGUCGGAUGUGAAAGCCCUGGGCUUAACCUGGGAACUGCAUUCGAUACUGCCCGACUAGAGUAUGGGAGAGGGAAGCGGAAUUUCCGGUGCAGCGGUGAAAUGCGUAGAUAUCGGAAGGAACACCAAUGGCGAAGGCAGCUUCCUGGCCCAAUACUGACACUCAGGUGCGAAAGCGUG
rnacentral:rRNA from 1 species